UACAGAGGGUGCAAGCGUUACUCGGAGUUACUGGGCGUAAAGGGCGCGUAGGUUGUAUUGUAAGUUAGUUGUGAAAUCCCCGGGCUUAACCUGGGAAUUGCAACUAAGACUGUGAUACUAGAGUACUGUAGAGGGUAGUGGAAUUUCCGGUGUAGCGGUGAAAUGCGUAGAGAUCGGAAGGAACACCAGUGGCGAAGGCGGCUACCUGGACAGAUACUGACACUGAGGCGCGAGAGCGUGGGGAGCAAACAGG
rnacentral:rRNA from 1 species